AUCAAUAAGCGGAGGAAAAGAAACCAACAGGGAUUGCCUUAGUAACGGCGAGUGAAGCGGCAACAGCUCAAAUUUGAAAUCUGGCCCUUGGGUCCGAAUUGUAAUUUGUAGAGGAUGAUUUUGGUGCGGUAUCUUCCGAGUUCCUUGGAACAGGACGCCUUAGAGGGUGAGAGCCCCGUACGGUUGAAUGCCUAGCCUCUGUAAAUCUCCUUCGACGAGUCGAGUAGUUUGGGAAUGCUGCUCUAAAUGGGAGGUAAAUUUCUUCUAAAGCUAAAUAUUGGCCAGAGACCGAUAGCGCACAAGUAGAGUGAUCGAAAGAUGAAAAGCACUUUGAAAAGAGGGUUAAAUAGCACGUGAAAUUGUUGAAAGGGAAGGAUUUGUGACCAGACUUUUUCUGGGCGGAUCAUCCGGGGUUCUCUCCGGUGCACUUCGCCCAGUAAAGGCCAGCAUCGGUUUUCGGCGUGGGAUAAAAGCAGUAGGAAUGUGGCUCUCUACGGGGAGUGUUAUAGCCUAUUGUAUAAUACCGCGCUGGGGACCGAGGUUCGCGCUUCUGCAAGGAUGCUGGCGUAAUGGUUAUCAAUCACCCGUCUUGAAACACGGACCAAGGAGUCGAACAUUUGUGCGAGUGUUUGGGUGUUAAACCCUCACGCGUAAUGAAAGUGAACGGAGGUGAGAGCCCUUACGGGUGCAUCAUCGACCGAUCCUGAAGUUUUCGGAUGGAUUUGAGUAAGAGCAUAACUGUUCGGACCCGAAAGAUGGUGAACUAUGCGUGGAUAGGGUGAAGCCAGAGGAAACUCUGGUGGAGGCUCGCAGCGGUUCUGACGUGCAAAUCGAUCGUCAAAUCUGCGCAUGGGGGCGAAAGACUAAUCGAACCAUCUAGUAGCUGGUUA
rnacentral:rRNA from 1 species